GACGAACGCUGGCGGCGCGCCUAACACAUGCAAGUCGAACGAGAGAUGAAGAGCUUGCUCUUCAAAUCGAGUGGCGAACGGGUGAGUAACGCGUGAGGAACCUGCCUCAAAGAGGGGGACAACAGUUGGAAACGACUGCUAAUACCGCAUAAGCGCACAGCACCGCAUGGUGCAGUGUGAAAAACUCCGGUGGUGUGAGAUGGAUCCGCGUCUGAUUAGCUUGUUGGCGGGGUAACGGCCCACCAAGGCGACGAUCAGUAGCCGGCCUGAGAGGGCGACCGGCCACAUUGGGACUGAGACACGGCCCAGACUCCUACGGGAGGCAGCAGUGGGGAAUAUUGCACAAUGGGGGAAACCCUGAUGCAGCGACGCCGCGUGAGCGAUGAAGUAUUUCGGUAUGUAAAGCUCUAUCAGCAGGGAAGAUAAUGACGGUAC
rnacentral:rRNA from 1 species